UACGUAGGGGGCAAGCGUUGUCCGGAUUUAUUGGGCGUAAAGAGCGUGUAGGCGGCUGGGUAGGUCCGUUGUGAAAACUCGAGGCUCAACCUCGAGACGCCGAUGGAAACCCCCCGGCUAGAGUCCGGAAGAGGAGAGUGGAAUUCCUGGUGUAGCGGUGAAAUGCGCAGAUAUCAGGAAGAACACCCGUGGCUAAGGCGGCUCUCUAGUACGGUACUAACGCUGAGACGCGAAAGCGUGGGGAGCGAACAGG
rnacentral:rRNA from 1 species